UCAACACCUUGGUGUUUGACGGAAACCGAGACACAGAUCGCUUCUCUCUCUUAUCCAUCAGACUUGGUUCCAGAUCUUUCCCGAAUUCGGACAUCAGCUUCACAAAGCCUUCAUCCAUUUCAGUGCCACUGGGACAUUCAUCUUUCCGAAGCCCAACUCCAGUCACGCUGACGCUUCAAGCCUCUCCUAGGGUUCCCCUUUCUUCGAUGUUGAAGGGCUGACUUUUCAGAUGGGCGUUCGGAGCCCCAGCGUUGCCCCAGCCUGUUCUCCAGCCACCCGAGGUGGCUGAGGCCGCCUUCGUCUUCCCCACGUUCCUCUGGCCGUGCCCCGAGCCCCUCAGCCCCCGCAGCCCCCUGCCCAGUCUUCUUUUAAUUAAAGCCCCACAGAAAUUCCUCUCUGCUGGGGUUUCAUAGCCCUUUGCUGUUACCACCCCUUUGCACUUGGUGUCAUAGAGUGUUGGUGGUGUCCCCUGUCUAACUGAGAACUUAGGGCCCCGUUAAGUCCUCGCUUGGGUCUCUUGCAGUGCUUGGUGUGGUCCCCGCGCUGGGCCAAGUGAAUGUGAUGUAGCAUCAGUGAAGGUGUGACUUAGAAGCCACUCAGAAUGAGUCCCCCAGAUCUCUGUCCACCACAGGAGCAUCGCCAAAACCAACACACCACCCUCCAGGGCGACAGCUUCACUAAUGCAGCUCAGUUACACGCACCGAUGUCCCUUUCCAUCCACGUUAUGGAAUCACUACUUGAAAAGCUUACUAAGGAGCUCAUUCUUCUUUAACUUCGCCCAACCUUCAAAAGCUUGUUGCUGAUCUCUUAUCCCACGGCCUUCAUGAUGGAACAUGUACCAGCCUUUCAACUGGGAAUAAACCCCAACUAAUUACCUCUGCUUACUUGUUCUAAAAAAACUCUGUGGAGCCUCAGUCUAUUCUGACCGCCUGCCUUUCAUCUGUUCAGACACCGUUCCUUCCCCGUGUCCCGUCCCCAGCACAGCAAGAGGGGUCUCCGUUCAAUUCAGGCACAGACAGGAUCUCCACCCAUGCUUGGGACGCUCUGCCUUCCGUGUGUGUCCAGAUCGCUCAGAGUGAUCACCUUUUCGGAGGUAGUUCUGGUUUGGUUUUGCAUUAAAGAGGAAAAUUGGGCUCUUCUGUUGCUGCUGCAAAUCAGCAUAGCCUGACGGACCGGAGAGUGCCAGGCAGGCUGGGUUAGGACUGGCUUUGUCCCCGGCAUGGUGUCCUGUUCAGUCCCCCUGGUCCUGUGUUUCCUCAUCUAUUAAACAGUCUUCCCUGUCUCACAGCACUAUUGCCAAAAGUCAGUGUAGCGCUGUUCCUGGCAUCCUCGUAACUCCUCGGUAAAUAUGAACCCUUAGCUACUGCAUGAUGUACUUGCCUUUGUGUGGUUUCAACGAGCCGUCCACCCCCGCCACACAACAGUGUUUGCUGCUUUCCUCUGUGUUAGCACAGAGGGUUCUAAUGGGGGAGACCCCUCUGUGGUUCUUUUCCCCAUCCUACCUGCACACCCGGCCUCAGAUUCACCUGUGGUGGCACCGAUGCCGGAAAGAUGUUACCGAAAUCGGGAUUCUUAAUCACACAGCCGAAGAAUAAACUUUGCAAACACACAGGCAGCAAGCAAGCAAAAACUUUAUUACAGAAAAGCAAACACCUCCCAGGGCAGCUGGGAGGAGGGAGAAGAGGCCCUGUUCUCUGUUGUCUUAUGGGGGUUUUUAUCCUCUAAAGAUGAGAAGUGCCAAAGAGAAGUCCAGAAAGAUGGGAUUUUUUUCUGCCAUUGGCCUUGCUCGGUUACCUGUUAUCAGUCUCUGUCCAAUAGGAGUCUUAGGGGGUCAUAAGUCUCCUGGUUUCUUUGCCCUUCUCUUCCCGUAGACUGAGUCACAGGGGGUUAGAGGUUAAUGUCCAUCCGGGUGUAAGUAGACUCCAUGUAGUAAACAAGACCUGUGGGGAUGUUACUCCCUGGAGCCCUUAAGCCACAAAUGUUCAUCAACAGCCAGAUCAAAGAAGGCAUCGAAGCCCAUGCUCCUACACUGACUACCUGAGCUAGUAUUCUGCCUCAGAACCAGCACUGACCCCACCUUCCAAGACUCCCUCUUCCUGCCAGAGAUCGAGUGUAUGCGUUUCCAGAGCCACUCCAUUUGACCUGGAGCAAGGAAGGGGCAGCAUGGGGAUAAGUGCUUAGUAGAAAAUAAAUCAGAUCUAUCAGGAGUGCUUCAAAUGCAAUUAUAUUAAAGCAGUAGACUGGGGACUGGGAAAAAAAUGCAUCCAUUCAGGAGAUGCAAGAGAUUACCAAGCUUGUAAUAAAAAAAAAUUAUAGGAUAGGAAAUGCCAAAUGCUUUAUGUCUGUUAGGCAAUAAUUUCCCCCAUUUUACACAAGAUGAAUUCUCAGCUCAGAUAAUUUGCUCUAAAUAACACAGUAAAUGACAGCGGUAGGAUUCAAACCCAGAUAUGCCUGAGUCCAAAGCCUACACUUCUCACUCAGUAGAUAGACAAGGUCAGGCCAUAGACAGAUAGACCAGAAACCUCAGAAUAACAUGAAAUCUGUGCAGCUUUAUGCUGAUUGUAUUCAAUUUAUCUGUGGCCCUUCUGUUUUCCCCUACACGUAAAAUACAUACAGCCUUCUUGGAAAAUUCCAGUGGAGGCCAUGGAUGCAAGUUGGUUCCUGGUUUCGUGAACUAGAGACCAGGUGCAGGCACAAGGAGCAUAGAGGAGACUUGCAACUUCCCUCCUACGUCUCCAACGGAUUUCUUUCUUUGUCCCAUUUUAAGAGUUAAUGCUUCUCUUACCAGCCCAGUCACCACCCACUUAAGCCAGUCAGGUUGGUUCCCUUUAGUUUCCCAGUGGAAGUCUAAGGUGCCAGCCAUCCCUGUUUCCCGUCUGGGGCGGGGUUGUGGGGGGCACUACCAGAGCCUGUGCUCCUGCUCCAGGCUCCCACCUCUACUUGGUGUCGGUUCUGUAGCUCAGCGACGAUGCUCCAUCCUCAUGGCUGUGUGUGUGUGUGUGUGUCCUGUGCUGUCAGCUAAGCUUUUGGCUUAACAGGGCCCCUUCUCCUAAAGCAAGAGCAAAGCCAUGUGACUGGGUGUUGUGGGCCCGCCUUCUUGCUCCAAGUAGACUUUGGAGAAAAAAAAAAAAAUCAACUUUCCUUACGUUUUGAGGAAAAUAACUACAGAUCUGAAAAAGAAAAACCUGAAUAACUGAAAAGCUUCUGUGUUGACGGAUGAGUACACUUCCUUGUUCUCCACCUGGGGUGUCACCACCGUGCAUCUGUGAGGCUGCAGGGAGGACGUGCCAAGAGCAGCACCAAAUUUUAGAAAUUUCACAGUUUUUUUGUUUGUUUGUUUAAGGCCACACCGGUGGCAUGUGGAGGUUCCCAGGCUAGGGGUGAAAUCGGAGCUACAACUGCCGGCCUACACCACAGCCACAGCAACACCAGAUCCUUAACCCACUGAGCGAGGCCAGGGAUCGAACCUGCAUCCUUAUGGAUACUAGUCAGAUUUGUUUCCACUGUGCCAUGACGGGAAUUCCAAACAUUUCAGUUUUGGAGUCUUAUGUUGCUGCAUUUCUCUUCUCUGAUUUCCUCUUCUCCCGAUUCUUGGAUCCCUCUAGUUUGGGUUUUGAGAGCCCUGGACGAGUGGGAGGCAGCAGCCCUGGCCUUGAGGUUUACAGUCCAACAGUGAAACAGACACACACAAGUAGAGGGUCUAGGCAAAGACAUGUGGGUACACGAGUGUGUUAAUGGGCAAACAGUAAAUAAAGAUGUGCUUUGAUUUAUUGUUGGUUUUAUAAUGUGAGAAGUUUUAAAAUUUUACAGAAAUUUUAAAAAUUAAAAGUUGGUUUAGUAUAAUUUACUGAGUUUAUGAAAACAAGAGUCUACAAUUAAAAAAAAAAAUCCUCCUGGGAGUUCCUGUCGUGGCUCAGUGGUAAUGAACCUGACUAGUAUCCAUGAGGAUGUGGGUUUGAUCCCUGGCCUCGCCCAGUGAGUUAAGGAUCCGGCAUUGCUGUGAGCUGCAGUGUAGGUCGCAGAUGUGGCUCAGACCCUGCGCGGCUGCCGCUGUGUGUAGGGCGGCGGCUACAGCUCUGAUUGGACCCCUAGUGUGGGAACUUUCAUAUGCCGUGAGUGUGGCUGUAAAAAGACAAAAAAAUUUUUUUUUAAUUAAAAAAAAGUCCCAUUACAUCCCAUUAUGCAAAUACCUCUCCAUCAGAUGAUUGGUCCCAAACCUGGUCUGGUGCCUGUCUGCUUGCUUUGUCACCACCCAGCUCCAUCUGUACCAGGGUGGCAUUUGAGAGAGGAGAGAGGGCUCGUUGAAGCCCUUGUACUUGCUAUGACAUCUCCUCACUGGGCAGAAGGGAUUCCUGGUUGCAAGUGGGAGAAUCGGGUCACGUGACGAAACCCUGCCCUCCAGCGCCCCCUACAGACCUGUGUGCAGAGCAGUGGAAAGGCUCCGGGCUCCUGCCUUCACCCCCUGCGUCUAUUUGCAGUUCACAGGGUGUCACUGCUAAGAAGUUCAGCCAGCGAUCUCUCUGAGCAGGUGAAGGCUCAGUCUUCCUUUUGAUGGCAGGAUUUCUUCAAAAGGCGUAAGCCGCUCCCUGAUCUCACUGAGUUCCUUCCCAUCGCAUCACUGCAAACCCUGGGCUAACAGGCUCGCUUCAUUACUUACCUCUCUCCCCAGUCCCUGGCCCCAAAGGAGAACGGGGAGGGGAGACGGGGGAAAAAGUGUACGGAUGUUAUGCCUGCACACACACACACACACACACACACACACACAGUUUAAAAUUGAUUUGUUUUGGUCAGUGAGGCAACACGAAUUUGGCACAAGGAAGUAGGCCAAUAACACAAAAGACGAAUCAUCAAAAAUGUAAGAGCACUGAGUUCCCAUUAUGGCUCAGUGGUUACUGAACCUGACUGGCAUUCAUGAGGACACGGGUUUGAUCCCUGGCCUCGCUCACUGGGUUAAGGAUCCAGCGUUGGUGUAGGUCACAGACAUGGCUUCAGUCCCCAAGUUGCUGUGGCUGUGGUGUGGGAUGGCAGGUACAGCUCCGACUGGACCCCUAGCCUGGGAACCUCUGUAUGCCGCGGGUGCAGCCCUAAAAAGACAAAAGAC
rnacentral:lncRNA from 1 species